AUUGAACGCUGGCGGCAGGCCUAACACAUGCAAGUCGAGCGGAUGAAGGGAGCUUGCGCCUGGAUUCAGCGGCGGACGGGCGGGUAAUGCCUAGGAAUCUGCCUGGUAUUGGGGGAUAACGUCCGUAAACGGGAGCUAAUACCGCAUCCGUCCAGAGGGUGAAAGGGGGGGAUCAUCGGACCACACGCUUUCUGAUGACCCUAGGCCGGAUUAGCUAGUUGGUGGGGUAACGGCCUACCAAGGCGACGAUCCGUAACUGGUCUGAGAGGAUGAUCAGUCACACUGGAACUGAGACACGGUCCAGACUCCUACGGGAGGCAGCAGAGGGGAAUCUUGCGCAAUGGGCGAAAGCCUGAUGCAGCCAUGCCGCGUGUGUGAUGAAGGUCUUCGGAUUGUAAAGCACUUUAAGUUGGGAAGAACAAAAGUGAGAGAAUCCCUGCCCGUCUUGACGUUACCAACAGAAAAAGCACCGGCUAACUUCGUG
rnacentral:rRNA from 1 species